rnacentral:rRNA from 1 species
GGGGGCCCGCACAAGCGGUGGAGCAUGUGGUUUAAUUCGAUGCAACGCGAAGAACCUUACCUGGUCUUGACAUCCACGGAAGUUUUCAGAGAUGAGAAUGUGCCUUCGGGAACCGUGAGACAGGUGCUGCAUGGCUGUCGUCAGCUCGUGUUGUGAAAUGUUGGGUUAAGUCCCGCAACGAGCGCAACCCUUAUCCUUUGUUGCCAGCGGUCCGGCCGGGAACUCAAAGGAGACUGCCAGUGAUAAACUGGAGGAAGGUGGGGAUGACGUCAAGUCAUCAUGGCCCUUACGACCAGGGCUACACACGUGCUACAAUGGCGCAUACAAAGAGAAGCGAACUCGCGAGAGCAAGCGGACCUCAUAAAGUGCGUCGUAGUCCGGAUUGGAGUCUGCAACUCGACUCCAUGAAGUCGGAAUCGCUAGUAAUCGUGGAUCAGAAUGCCACGGUGAAUACGUUCCCGGGCCUUGUACACACCGCCCGUCACACCAUGGGAGUGGGUUGCAAAAGAAGUAGGUAGCUUAACCUUCGGGAGGGCGCUUACCACUUUGUGAUUCAUGACUGGGGUGAAGUCGUAACAAGGUAACCGUAGGGGAACCUGCGGUUGGAUCACCUCCUUA